rnacentral:rRNA from 1 species
UACAGAGGUCCCGAGCGUUGUUCGGGUUCAUUGGGCGUAAAGGGUGCGUAGGCGGUCUGCUAAGUUUGAUGUGAAAUCCCGGGGCUCAACCCUGGAAUGGCAUUGAAUACUGGUGGACUAGAGUACUGGAGAGGAAACUGGAAUUUACGGUGUAGCAGUGAAAUGCGUAGAGAUCGUAAGGAAGACCAGUGGCGAAGGCGAGUUUCUGGACAGUAACUGACGCUGAGGCACGAAGGCCAGGGGAGCAAACGGG